rnacentral:tRNA from 1 species
CUUUCCAUGGCCAAACUGGUCAAGGCAUCGCCGAUUAGAGACCAAAAUGCGGGUUCGAGUCCCGCUGGAACGG